UCCCGGCGAUGGCGAUCGGCGGCGGUGACCGGCGGUGGGACCGCUCGGGUAAGUUCUUUUACCCUAGGGUUUGUUCUUUUUUCGUUUUCUUUUCUUCUUUCUUUUUCCACCCAAGCUGAUCUACUCGCCUAGAUAGCUCUGAUACCAAUGUUAGAACCCUAGAAUCAACUAGGUGCAGAUCUAGCCGGUAGAUUAUUUUUACUGUGAUUCGAGUAUUUGAUUCUGGACGAGAAUAGGGCGAGAGAGAGAGAGAGAGAAACGGGGAAAGAUUACCUUCUCCCUGACUUGUAGAUCCCGACGGUGCGGCCAUGGCUAUGGCGAAGGCAAGCGGCGGCGUGAGCUAGGUGGUGACGGCGAUGGCGGUUGCUUCCCGUCGCCUCUGCGCAAAGCCUUAGAUCGGUAGGGUGUAUUUGGUGGGGGUGACGGCAACGCAGAGCAACAUCGUAGUGCGUGUCCCGGCCCCCCACGUUUUUAUAUAGCGCAGUGCGACAGGGGCCCGUCAACCAUAUUGGGUUGGGCGCCUCCGAUCAGAGCGCGUCAGAUCUAGGUCCGGUGGGCCGUUGGGCCUACACGGCUGGAAGAUCGCUCUAACAAGAAUCACACUACACACAUAUGUACACGGUUUCGCUUUUUCCUUGCAAUUUUUAUUCUUCUUAAAUUGAUUGCCUACUUCUUUUGCCAAGAGAGAAAAUACACGGGGCCAACGCAGUCAUCUAUGACACCAGCGGCCGCGCCCAUUCUCGUGCCUAGGCAGGCCACGACGCAGGAAUUCUUUUUCUGGCCGAGUUUUCUGGUGCAGAUCAUACCAUUCAGUAAACUAGUAAAGUGACCUUCCCGUUUCGGGUAUGAGAAUAGACAUAUGGAGCAACUCCUAACUUCAGUUCAGUUCGAUCUCCAUUAAUUGGUGCUACCGUGCUAGAGGUUAGUG
rnacentral:lncRNA from 1 species